rnacentral:rRNA from 1 species
AGUGAACGCUGGCGGUAGGCCUAACACAUGCAAGUCGAACGGCAGCACAGUAAGAGCUUGCUCUUACGGGUGGCGAGUGGCGGACGGGUGAGGAAUACAUCGGAAUCUACUUUUUCGUGGGGGAUAACGUAGGGAAACUUACGCUAAUACCGCAUACGACCUACGGGUGAAAGCAGGGGAUCUUCGGACCUUGCGCGAUUGAAUGAGCCGAUGUCGGAUUAGCUAGUUGGCGGGGUAAAGGCCCACCAAGGCGACGAUCCGUAGCCGGUCUGAGAGGAUGAUCCGCCCGACUGGAACUGAGACACGGUCCAGACUCCUACGGGAGGCAGCAGUGGGGAAUAUUGGACAAUGGGCGCAAGCCUGGUCCAGCCAUACCGCGUGGGUGAAGAAGGCCUUCGGGUUGUAAAGCCCUUUUGUUGGGAAAGAAAAGCAGCAGGUUAAUACCCCGCUGUUCUGACGGUACCCAAAGAAUAAGCACCGGCUAACUUCGUG